rnacentral:lncRNA from 10 species
CUUGCCCAGGAUUGCAUGGAUUUCUUUCAUCUUUGCUGUAUCUCAGAGCCGCUGGCUCCUUCAGCUGCCUUGUCUGAGUCUCCUGGCAUUCCAGCUGCCUCAGGCUUCCCCAUCAUACCAUUGGCAGUACUAUAGCCUUCAAUGUCUUUCACAUGUCAAAGGGAGCAGUGCAUUAAAAUGACAGAGAUGGACUAAAGCUUCUGGAACGAAUGCAGGAACUGAACAGGAAAGCUGAAAGAAUCCACAGAACUUUUGAAAGAAGUGGCAGGCUGCAGCCUACUCUGUGAGACAGGCAAAAACUCACCUCUAGGCAGAAUAGCACUGUACCCAGGAAGGAGAAAACGGCUGCAUAUUCUCAGCUAUCACCACUGCUUACAACACCCUGGCUAACCAGAAGUCCUGCGUCUGUCCACGUGAUAAGUUCACUAUAAUUAUAACCAGCAUUUGAGAAAGUCAAUACUCUAAGUCUAUCUACAACCAAGGAAUCUUGCAGAGUUUGCAUCACUCCCCUCCCACUUCUGUCAGAGAUGGUGCUGGUAUUCACUGCUGGGAGUCUUGAAGACAGGUAACACCACUGGAUCCCUUGCAGACAUUCCCUAGCACCAGCCCAGAGUCUGGUAGGCCCACUGGGUGGCUAGACCCAGAAGAGCACUGUAGUCUGGCUUCCAGGAAGUCCCAUUCCUAGAGGAAGGGGAAGAACAUCACAUCAAGGGAAUACCCUGUGGAACAAAAGAAUCUGAAUGGCAGGGCUUGAGUCCCAGAUCUUUUCACUGGUGGGAAGUUUCCUAUUGCAGAGACAAUUGCUGUGCUGGGCAGAGUGGGGGAAAGUUUGCACCUCUACCCAAUAGGCAGGCAGCCUCUGGUAUUGUGAAGGGUCUUAGAGAAGGGAUCCUUGUUCCCCCUGGUACGCCACUGCAGACAGAGCUGGGGCUUCUCCCAAAGGAACGCAGCAUUGAUGCACCUAUAGACAGCCUUCCUGGAACAAAUCAGGGUGAUUGCAUCCCCACGGGAGGAGCACUCCCCAGAUUCAGGUUUGCAUGACAGGCAGUCACAAUUCCUCUCUACUUGGAACAUCAACAUUUCUACAGAUGAAAAUAACUGCCUGUCUGAUCUGAAUAGCUGGAACACUGGGAAAGGAGUGAAGCUGGGAGGUGGAUAGCUUUCCAGCUGGCCUAGUGGGGGACCUGAGGUAGCUCCUACCCUUCACCCUGACAAAACCUCAGCACAUCUAAUUGAGAGCUCUCCCAGGCACUCUCAUCAAGGCUGGGAUCUCUGCCCACCUGCUUUAGCUACAACCGGUGCCUACCCACCUACUUUAGCUACAUCUGGUGCCUACCCAGGGAUACUUCCCCUACUGGUCCAAAGCCUGAAUCAACUCAGUAAGUAAAAUACUGGGGAAAAAUUAAAUAAAUAAAUAAAGAGUACCCCACGAGAGAAUGAGGUAAGCUUAAAGAGAUUCCUGCCAUUCCAACCCUGUAGGAGACAGUAAACCUUCCCACACACCAAGUACGUAACUGCUACAACCAGGAUCUGGGAAAGCCAGCACACAAGGACUGUCUCUAACUAACGAACUCAUACAGAGUCUUCACUCCUAAAAUCCAAAAGUCUUCACUCCUAAAAACCAAGGAUCAAAUUAGGCUAAAAUAAACUAUAAAUAUUAAAGUCAGAUCCUUAAGAGGGAAGAAAAAGAAAUAAAAAAAAAACAUAGUUGCUGGGCGUGGUGGCUCACGCCUGUAAUCCCAG